ensembl:lncRNA LINC01249 long intergenic non-protein coding RNA 1249
GUCUCUAGACAGAGCUAGGUGGGGCACUGUAAAACAGUCGCAGGGGAGAGGUGCUCCCUUUUUUUGGUGCUUUUGUGCUGCUUGUAGCAUGGCAGCCAGCAAGUUGGUGUGCAAGAGGCUCAGUAGCAUUAAUCUCUGUGACUCUGAUGGGCCAGCUGCAUCCUGAGCCCCUGAAAACUUCUUGACUUCUUGGUGCACUGGACCAAUGGACCGGCUCUACCCACGUCUUCCAGCAAGUCCCUUCUCCCAGCAGGUACUGCUCCUGCGCAGUAAAGCCUUCUCCAAAGAGGCGGGGGUCUCAGCCUGGUUCUUCCUUGUUCCUCGUCCUCUGAGGUAGCAACUGCCUCAUCUUUUCCAUCUAUGGAGUGUGGAAUAUGUGCCCUACUUCAUUCAGGAAUGUUGGACAAACCAGCUAUUUAGAGAGUGAAGGAGAGGAACUUCCGAGAGCAACCGGCCCCCAAGAGAAACCCAGGGACUCCUGCCCUUCGGCAGCUUUGUCCAUGUGCUGCUCACACCAAAAAGCACUCGAGGGUGACCUGCACCAAAAAUGCAUUGCCGUAGUCUGGGCACAGUGGAUCACGCCUGUAAUCCCAGCUCUUUGGGAGGCCAAGAGAAGUUAGAACACUUGAAAUUAGCUAAGCGAGAAUGCCAUCAGCAGUGCAUCGAUCUCAGCUGCAUCCAGGUGUAUCAGUUGAAUGGCAGAGGGACUAGAAAUUACAUUUCACGAAGAAAAUUUACAGAACUAAAGAUAUUUAGGCUGCAAAAGAAAAGACUAAGGCACUGUGCUAAGUUGGACUUACAGAGAUGAAUAAGAUUUGGCCACAUCUUCAAGGAGCUCAGACCUUCAUGGACGUACCAAAUAUAUACAGAACUAACUCUACUGCUUAUCAUAAUGAGAGCUGUGCUAUGGAUAUUUGAAAGUUAGAGAGAUUUAUUUUCAACAGAAUAAUAAAGUCAACUUUCACAAACUGGUGACAGAUGAUCUGGGCCUUGCAGACAGGGGAGGACUGACAGAUUGAGAAGAGUAUUUGGUUAAAAACGGAUCAUAAACUGGUAUAAAUAUCUAAACAAACUCAUGAGAAUGAGCAGAGUCAGACACAAUAAAAUAAUUCAAAGAUAUAUCAGAUAAACCUGGACCCAAAAGUCAUGACUUUUUCUUUUCAGUUAACUCUGAACAAUUUACAAUAACUUCCUCAAUUAUUGUUUGUCUCAUUUUAACAUUUUGUAAUAACACCUAUGUCUCCAUAUUGGUAUGAAGAUUAAAUGAAAAUACAUCUAUGUUAGAUAGUCCCUAAGUUUCUGUCCCUGAUAUAAGUCCACCCUCCCCACCAUCAUGUGAUCACACGCAGGUGCACAUGCACAGAUGUAUACAUGCAUGCCGUUAUGGGGACAGUAAUUGCAAAUAUCAAUACUGUUAUGGUUGUUACUUCAGCCAUUGCACAAGUGUAGACCUCUGGAUCAACACACAUACGUAUGUGUAUGUGUAACAAAUAUAUGGCUAAUAAUGCAUAGGUUUCAUAGCUAUACCUUGAAAUCAAUUUAUUAAAGGGAUGUGUCCUUCCCAUGCUGACUCACCUACUGCGGCCCAAAAGCAACAACGUAAACUGCCCUGGAUAAAACAUCUGCAGACAAGAGAUCUCUAAGCUAAGCUACAGCUUCAUCAAGCAUGGAGUUAUCUCAUUUCAUAGCUUCACACACACAAAGGCGCGCGCACACACACACACACACACACACAGCUCUCAGCUGGAGACCGUCAGGGAAAACAAGUACCAGUGAGACCUGGGGAUCUUCAUUUGAUUUUGUCUACUGGGUGAGGCUGUGUUGAAAACACUUUGACAGAGGGCUCUUCUCUUGGGGCUCAUCAAAUAUUGCUGGUAGAGGGUUUGCUUGCUUUAAAUAUUCCUUUCCUCAGGUAACGAAGAAUACCAUGUAAUUUGUAAUGAUAACUUGGAUAAUGAAUGCACACUGUAGUCAGCCAUUACCAGUGGUAAUUGGUCUUCCUUUCAUCUCCUGUCAAGCAGAGUGGUUAGGAUUAGGACCAAAAGGCAGCUAUCAUCUCUCUCAUUUCCUGACUCAGACAAAAGGCAAAAAAAAAAAGGUGCCUGCUUGUGCUGAUAGGUGUCUGAUCAAAGCGGCUGAAAGCUGUCAGAAGCCAGCCAGCCUCAGCACCUGACUACUCCUUAAUGCAGCUUUGCCUUUGAUGUACAGGCAGUCCAACCGGGGUUCUAUUUAUGUAAAAAAAAAUAAUCAGGAUUGUAAUAGAACAGGAGAAAGUGUCAUUUUCUAUUUUGAUUCCAGUUUUGCAGUCUGACACCUAUAGGAAAUGUGGACUAAUUCUGUCCAGAGUAUGGUGUGUGUGUGUGUGUGUGUGUGUGUGUGUGUGUGUGUGUGUGUAACUCAAUAAAAUAAAAUAUCUUUGAAACUUCAUCAAAUACAUUUGGCAGUGAGCAGAAGUUAGAUUGCUGGUAGAAAGAAAUUAUCCUUCUUGGAAAGUAAAAAAAAAAUGCUUAAGUAAAAUUGCAGCAGUUUUGACAUGUGUAUUUUAUGUUUCAGAAAUUCUACAGGUUAUAGGUUUAUAAAUGGAGAACUGGUCUUGGAUUUAAAUGAAUUGGCAUCGUAUCUCAGACUUCUAGCUUUCUACCCAUGUGAAUUUAGGUGCGUACUAAUCACAUAUGUGUUUUAAGUUUAUCACUGGCUAUAUACAUGGUUACUUUUGUAUAUGCCUGUGCAUUGAAUGAAAAUACCUGGCAUGUGGUUGUUAUAAGCAAUAGACAGUUUUUGGCCAGAGAGCCAGGCAGACAAGUGUUAAUAUCACUUAAGCCCUCUGUGUCUCAAGUUCAAAAUUUCUAAAAUGAGUGAAUAUAAUAUUUGUUUGAAUUAAAGUAUACAAAGCAUGUAUCUCAGUGUCUAAGACAUUGUAAGACACCAAUAAAUGUCCAGUAUUUCUGUUGU